rnacentral:lncRNA from 1 species
GCUAGAUGUCAGUUCGAUCCUGGAGCUCAGCUGGGAGGAGGCCCACAGACAGCUUUCCUUCAGAUUGGUCACGCAUUGCCAGGGGUUGAAGAUGAGUGUUCCAUGGUGGAGGAAGUCCCCACAUUGUUAGAGGCCAGAAUCAUGGCUCUUGUUCUAUAGGUCAGGGAACUAGAGAGAUAGAGGUGAAAACCUGUAUCCAAAGAGUAAUCACAUUUGGAGCCUGAGGCAUGAACAGAGUCCAAAUGAGAGAAAAUCAUAUCCAGCACAGCAAAAGGAACAACCCAAGUGAAGGAAGGACAAGGAAGACCCAAGAUUCCAGAAAGGAACAGAUGAGCUGGGAGGAUUCAAAAACAGUCACUUCACUUCUUCUUGGGAGCUCUCCUGGAGUGGAUGGUCUGAGGAGGGACCACUGAGAUAGAGGGUCUCUCUGGACAUUGACUACCUUCCAGUAAACCCCAAAUCCCUCUGUACCAGUGGAAGACAAUAAAAGUAGAUUGGGACUUGGCA